UUAUAAACGAGGCCUUUAGAAGGAGAUCUGAGCUCCACUAGGGAGUCAGGGGCAGCAAGAUGAUGUCGCAGACCCAGGUGUUCGCGUGCCUGCUGCUCUGGGUCUCUGGUGUCUGUAGUGACAUUGUGCUGACCCAGUCUCCAAGGACUCUGGCUGUGUCUGCUGGAGAGAGCGCCACCAUCCACUGCAAGGCCAGCCAGAGUCUUCAAAGUGGUAGUUACAACUACUUAGCCUGGUACCAGCAGAAACCAGGACAGUCUCCCAGACUGCUCAUCUACUUGGCAUCCACCCGGGCAUCUGGUGUCCCGGACCGGUUCAGUGGCAGUGGGUCUGGGACGGAUUUCACUCUCACCAUAAACAACGUCCAGGCAGAAGAUUUUGCUGAUUAUUACUGUCAGCAGGAUCGUAGCUACCCUCCCACAGUGAUUCAUCCUUGAACAAAAACUUCCCUUCAGGCCUCCCCAGCUGCUUGCUCCUCAUUGGGCACGAACGCUUCCUCCAGCUGCCUGAGAGACUGUACCCUGUUCAGUGCCCCAGAGAUUCUACAGACCUUAGCAGAAUGUAAAGGAGCUCUAUGUCUCCUGGAACCUUUGCUAUAGGAAAAGACAACCAAAUUACUAGUUGUAGCUUUGUAUUCUUUUAUAAAAAAUUUAUAAACUCA